UUGGCCUUGGUCCUCACAGCUCCAAAAAGAAACAGGAUCUUGAUAAGCUCUAUGAGCUGAAGUCCAAAGCUCGGCAGAUUAUGAACCAGUUUGGCCCCUCAGCACUAAUCAACCUCUCCAAUUUCUCAUCCAUAAAACCGGAACCAGCCAGUACCCCUCCACAAGGCUCCAUGGCUAAUAGCACUACAGUGGUAAAAAUUCCAGGCACUCCUGGGACAGGAGGUGGUCUUAGCCCUGAAAACAAUCAGGUAUUGACCAAGAAGAAAUUACAGGACUUAGUAAGAGAAGUGGAUCCAAAUGAGCAGUUGGAUGAAGAUGUGGAAGAGAUGCUGCUGCAGAUUGCUGAUGAUUUUAUUGAGAGUGUGGUGACAGCAGCCUGCCAGCUUGCCCGGCAUCGCAAGUCCAGCACUCUGGAGGUGAAAGAUGUCCAGUUGCAUCUAGAACGCCAGUGGAACAUGUGGAUUCCAGGAUUUGGUUCUGAAGAAAUACGGCCCUACAAAAAAGCUUGCACCACAGAAGCUCAUAAACAG